GGAAUCUUCGGCAAUGGGCGCAAGCCUGACCGAGCGACGCCGCGUGAAGGAUGAAGGCCCUCGGGUCGUAAACUUCUAAAAGAGGGACGAUAGUGACGGUACCUCUUGAAAAGCACCGGCUAACUCCGUGCCAGCAGCCGCGGUAAUACGGAGGGUGCGAGCGUUAAUCGGAAUUACUGGGCGUAAAGCGUGCGCAGGCGGUUUGCUAAGACAGGUGUGAAAUCCCCGGGCUUAACCUGGGAACUGCGCUUGUGACUGGCAGGCUAGAGUACGGCAGAGGGGGGUGGAAUUCCUGGUGUAGCAGUGAAAUGCGUAGAUAUCAGGAGGAACACCGAUGGCGAAGGCAGCCCCCUGGGCCUGUACUGACGCUCAUGCACGAAAGCGUGGGGAGCAA
rnacentral:rRNA from 1 species